CUAGAAUCAACACAGAGGAAGUAAACAGUGAUUUCUAGAGGAGUUGACAGUUUCUCUGCAUUAUUCUACAUAUAUCUGAAGCUAAGAGAUCAGGACGCGCUGCUGCUAGAUUAGUAUCACAGAUUAAAAGGAUCUCGCAGAGUUUUUAAUAUUUUAUUUAUGGGUUAAAAUUCUGUUUGAGAUCCGGAUGAACACCAAAGAAAGGACACAAUGCCUGCUGCUGUGUUUUUAUACCUUUUACUGCUGAAAACCGUCUUCUGCUCUUCUGCAUCUAAAGGUCAGAGGAUCUUCACAGUAGAACCUGGACAGAACAUCCUUCUGCCAUGCCGAGCUCCUGACAACAGACCUGUCAUCGCUGUAGAGUGGAGCAGAGCAGAUCUGGACCCAGAAUAUGUGUUUCUGUACAGAGACGAGCAAGUUGUUCCCUUCUACCAGCAUCCAUCUUUUAGGAACCGGGUGGAUCUGCAGGACAGGAAGAUGAAGGAUGGAGACGUGUCUUUGGUUCUGAAGAACGUGAGGACUGAUGACUGAGGAACAUAUGAGUGCAGAGUUUUCCAGACAGGAAAUAAAAUCAGGAAGAGAGCUAAUCUGGAUUCUGAUCCCAUCAGCAUCAUCAUCUUGGAUGUAGCUCCUUCUCCUCCUCCAGGUGUCUCUAGAGGCAGGUGGAACAAGGUUUCAAGAAACAAGGCCGGAUCUGUCGGACCUACAGUUAGUCUUCUAAUGUUAGUUUUGCAUCUGUGGGUUUGGUGAUAUAUAAAAAAAAAAGACUUUUUCAAGUCAGAAGACCCAGAUGUUCCUGCUGAACCUUCAGCUGGGAAGUAGACAUUGAUGUCUACGACCUCUGACCAGAGGUCAGGACCCCUGAGUGUCCUGAAUCAGUUGAUGGUUCUGUGAAACUGCUUCAUCCAAAACAAGAACAAGAAACGAUAAGAAAAGCCCGUCCUGAGGACCUAAGAGGAGAUGGUUGUACCAGAUUUAGCAUAGCAGUCUGGUUACCACGGAAACGGUCCAUACUGAAGCAGAGCGACAUCCUCUGUCCUUAUUUCGCUGUAAACUGACUUUUAACGGCUGCUGUCCUUUGAGAUCUCAUGGAAACCAGGAGGAGCCGUUUUACUCGCUGAAACGUUUGACCUCACAGAGAAUCUUCUGAACAUUUUCUAAUGAUGACGGUCAUCUUAUUUAAUAUGUUUGGAGCUUCUGCUUAUUAUAUUUCUAUGAAACAUCAGAGAUCUAGAACCAAAGGAAGCAGUCCCAAGCAAACCCCACUGACUCGCAGUUCUGUCUGAACCAACCUGCUGCAGAUGUGACCCAGAUGCUACCAAACAACAUGGAGUCAUGUUUACAAAUAUGGAUUCAAACAAAUGAUAAAGUUAUGAAAUAAAACUGUUUGUCAUG